rnacentral:piRNA from 1 species
CCAUGGUGGCCAGACAUUCCCCAAUGC